ensembl:lncRNA
GGGCUGCUGUAAAAGACUUCUUAGGAACAGGCCUGGGAACACUGCCUUCAGACCACUGGGUCCCAGCUCAUAGGAAAACAAAACAGGAUGGGCCCGGGACAGCUAAGCCCUCAGGAGUUUUCAACCUGCCUCAACCUUGGAGGCUAUCCAAGCUAGAGAACCCUCUGGCCCAGCUCUAUCUGAGGAUUGUUUCUCAAAACACAACCAAGCCCAGAAGAAAUUCUUUCCCAGAAUCCCCUCCCCAACCUCUCCUAGAUCUGCCUGGUGAGCCUCCCGCCAACCACAGCCCUAGCCAAUCUCAAACCUGAGGCGGGCCUUCCAGAGCUUUGAUUGGUUGGCUGGGCCUUCUAGACCUGGAAUGUUGAGUCCUUAACAAAGGAAUGAGGAAGGAAGGUGAGUCACCUGGGGAAGGUAUUAAAGGACUAGCUAGAAGGAAAAGGAAGGGGGAAGAGCUCCGGGGAGGUGGGGGCCCUGGACGCUAACGUGCUGACGAGACAGCUCACACGAGACCGGACAAGUGGGACAAAAAUCCAGAGUCUGAAAACAUGUUGGAGCAGAAGCGAAGAGGUGACAACGUGAGGUCCUGAUUUCCACAGAGGACCGAAAAGGGCCAAGGUAAUAGUUGGAGACUGGAUGAAAAUUGGAAAGUGACUCUGAAUUCUUUUCUUCUAGACCCUGGACUUCCCAUCCCAGAAUCCCCUCGAUGGCAAAUGACUGUGUUUCACGUUUCCUCUCCCAUCUCUGACUGUACACCUAUCUCUUAUUAAUUUAUUGUGUUUGUUAGCGUGCCAUGGUGCAUGCUUAGAGGUCAGGGGACGAUUCUGUGGAGUCGAUCUCUACUUCUACCUUUCCAUAGGUUUUGGUCUCAAACUCAGGUUGCCAGGCGUCUUGGCAAGCGCUUCACUGGCUAAGCCAUCUCGCCGGCUUCUACCCAUCUGUUCUAAAUAAUAAUAAUAAUAAUAAUAAUAAUAAUAAUAAUAAUAAUAAUAAUAAUGUCCCCUUCCAGCCCAAAGCGGCUGUAAAAUUCCCCCGUGGGCCCUUGGGACACUUAAACGCCCACCGAAGUCCUAAAAAGAAUACCAUGUAAACUCACCUGCAGUGCCAUCUUCACAAGGCUGUCUGGCAAACAAAACUUAACCCUCCUUUAUCCGCCCCUCCUCAGGCUUCUCCAAUUCACCUGUGCUUGGAAAGGUCUUUCCCGCAGGUCUCCAUCCCUUUCAGCACCCCCCUUCCACCUUCCUUAACCUAGGAAAAGUGCUCCUGCUGUCCCUUCUAGUCUGGUAGUCUGGUGAGCUAGCUGCUUGGCAGGCCCUCCUCUCACCUUCCUUCCCCUGCGCCAUCUGGACAGUUCUCAAUCUCCACCUCCACCCGCAAUUCAGCCACCAGCUCAUCCUUCUUCCUCCAGUUUUUGGAUGAUGCCAGCAAAGACCCUCCAAUCUCUCCCCGCAUCUGCCACUACGCUUGCGAACCGGACCCUCAGCAGGUGGGCGUGUGUAUUCUCAGCGCGAAGGUGGGACGCUGCUUCCACCUUCGCGCCUGUCUCCUCCGGACGCACUGGCUUGCUGGUUUGGGUUCUAAAGGUACUUUUCCUCACCAGCAUCUGAGUUCCUGCGGGGAUGCAGAGCUGGCGUGGAACGCGCUCAGCAAAUGUAUAUGCGCAGCUGUGUGAGUUGGGAUUGUGCAAACUCUAUUGAACACCUUAUUUCGGCAUCGAUAAUCGUGUUAGCCAAGGACAGGGGUCGAGUCUGGGGCCCUACGACUCCGCUUCAGGGCAGAGUUGGGGUGAGGGAUGGAUAGCGGAGUCCGCCGGACGCAAGGCCGGUGUGGCACAGUGGUGCCCUACGCUGAGAGCCAGGGUGCCUCGGACCAGACGCGGGGACGAGAGCAGAGGCCCCUGGAGCUGAGAGGCAGAGGUGCUAGAGUGGGUCCCGAGUCCGUGUACCCCCCACAGGAGCUCCCUGCCCCCGGCUGGGCAGGAUGUGGUGGCAGCUGCAGUUGGGUGGGCAGGAUGUGGGGGUGGGGGCAGACGAGCGCAGCCCGACAGUAGUCUCCCCCAGCUCUUGCCUCCACCCCCUCCGGGUCACGUGCUCUCAGCUUGGGCAUCGACGGACUAUUUCCCAUUUUCCGCGGAAGGACAUCUGAAACCCGUUGUCAUGAACUCAAGUUGUACCACGCCAUUUUCUUGCCCCCAUCUCCAGCCUAGGACAAAAAGUUUGCCCAGCACAAAUUUCUUUAAAGCGAGGAUUAACUCGGAAGAGGCCCCUUUAAAUGCAAAUGACUCGCCUUCUUGCUCCGCUCCUCCCAACCCCCAUCCCAACUUCUCUCCUCGUGCCCAAACUCCAGCAGCUGCUAUUGACGUCAAUCGUGCGUCAGCAUAGCCAGCCCAACCAGACAGCACGUGGGGGGAAGAAGGCGAUCUUAAAGCGACAGUCGCUCAGGGCCUGUUAGGUUGCCGGAGAAAGGAAAAGUCAAGUGGAAUGUUGGAAACAGUUGGAGCAGGAAGAAAUGCAGGGGAGACUUUCAGAAGGACCGCAUAAGGCCAGCGAAGUGGCUCAGGGGAUUAAAGGUGCUGUGCAAGCCCGAGAAUCAGCUCCCCAAAAUUAUCCUUUGACCUUCACAUACAUCAUUUUCUUCCUUCCCCAAACGUACAGUACUAAUAAAUCUGUUUUAAAAAGACUUCUCAGAAUAGUUUCUGUCACCCUCUCCAAGGUUGAAGGCCUGACAGACACCACAGGGCACUUCCUGCCUGGAAUAACUGAGAUCAGGAGGCAGUGGCGCCAACUCAUCCUUAAAAAAGAGGCCCAAGCAGAGCUGAGAUUCUCCUUUGGCUCAGAGCAGCUCUAACAACCCAUGGAGCCCAAAGAGUCAGGCUGGCACUGAACUAAAUAAGAAGCUGAGGAUGACCUUGAACUUCAGUUUCUCCUGCUUCCCAAGCGUGUUAGGAUUACAGCACUAUGCCCAAUCCUCCUCUCAGUUGCCUUUAAUAAGCAGCUAGACUCCACUGGUCAAGGUACUCGGACCCAGCAGGCUGGAACCUCAGCAGGUUUGUUGUGACAAUGAGCUCCCACAUGUGGCACCUGCUAGCUGCCAGUCUUCUGCCAUUCAUCCUGGUAUGGCCCCACCUCCUGCAGCCCCCUCUUCUAAGAGGAGAUGGAAGCUGAAAUCCUGGUCUUAUAUGCUCCAGACCUAAGCCAGGGCUGACUGCUGAGGGGGGUACACGAAGCUCUGAGAAAGCCUCUUGUUUAGAGAAAGAGUUGGAGACAAAAAGGGUGUAAGUGUUUUUUCUCUUCAUCCUUGCUUUAUGCCACCACACUGCUCACUAGGGCUUGGAGGCUCUCGGACAAGGAAACUUGAAGAUCAUAGAGGCCAAUGAGUACACCCAUGCCCAUCCAGCAACAAGUGGCUGUGGAGCCAGAUGGCCCCUCAUGCCUAGGAUCCCAGCUUUCCCAAGGCUGAGGCAGGAGGACUGCUGAGAAGCCAAAGCUAGUGAGACUGUGUCUCAGAAAACAAAAGGAAAACCCAGAAAGUAGCUGUGGGAUUCCAGUUCCGUACUGCAUGUGAGCAGACAGGAGUGAUAGGGACAGGGAAAAACCAGCUGGGACCUUAUCACUGCUGAGGAAGACAGCCAGCACCCCAUGAUCAUAGUGACAUAUCCAGAGAUGGUGGGGGGCAAGUACUGAGUUUAACAAGUCUUUCUCGAUGGGCGUUGGUGGGGCACGCCUUUAAUCCCAGCACUCGGGAGAGGCCAGCCUGGUCUCCAGAGCAAGUGCCAGGAUAGGCUCCAAAGCUACACAGAGAAACCCUGUCUUGAAAAACAACAACAAAAACAAACAAACAAAAAACAAACAAACAGCUCCCACCAGCUCCCUAAUAAUGACAUGGAGACUUCUUAUUAAUUAUGAAAGCCCGGUCUAUAGCUUAGGCUUGUUUUUAACAAGUUCUUAAAACUUAAAUUACAUUAGCCCAUCUGUAUUGAUCUACAUUCUAUCACAUGACUCAUGGUUGUCACCUCUCUUCCCGCACAUCCUGCUUGCUCUGUGUCUCUAUCUUUCCCUUCCCAGAGUCCUCUGUGUUCCCAGAAGUCCCACCUGUACCUCCUGUCUAGGUAUUGACCAUUUAGCUCUUUAUUACACCAAUCAUAGCAAUACCUCUUCACACAGUGUACAAAUACCCCGUAUCACUGAAGCAUACUUAGAACGAGACCUUACAAGCACAUGGUGAAGGUGUCACCAAGAAAAAACAAAAAAGAAGGGCGGAAUGAUUGCUGCUCUUCCAGAGGACUGGAAUAAUUCAGUUCCCAGUAGCCAGGUCAUAUGUGGUGGUUUGAAUGAGAACUGUCUCUAUAGGUUCAUAUAUUUGAACGCUUGGUCCCCAGCUGGUGGAACUGUUUGGGAAGGAUUAGGAGGUGUGGCCUUGUUGGAGGAGGUGUGUCACUGGGGGUGGGCUUUGAGGUUUCAAAAGCCCACAGCAUUCCCAGUUAGGACUCUCUCUCUGCCUGGUACUUGUGGAUCAAGAUAUAAGCUCUCAGUUACUGCCCCAGCACCAUGCCUGCCUGUUGGCUGCAAUACUGCCUGACAUGAUGGUCAUGGACACACUCUCUGAAACUGUAAGCCCAAUAAACUCUUUCUUCUCUACGUUUCCUUGGUCAUGGUGUCUUCACAACAAUAGAAAGGUAAGAUAUUGGGGCUGGAGAGAUGGCUCAGAGGUUAAGAGCACUGGCUGAUCUUCCAGAGGUCCUGAGUUCAAGUCCCAGCAAACAGAUCUGGUGCCCUCUUCUGGCAUAUAGGCAUAUAUACAGACAGAACACUG